rnacentral:Y_RNA from 1 species
GGCUGGUCCGAAGGUAGUGAGUUAUCUCACUUGACUGUUCACAGUUAGUCACAGGUCAAACUCCUUGUUCUACUACUUUCCCCCUUCCCACUACUGCACUUGACUAGUCUUUA